UACGAAGGGUUCUAGCGUUGCUCGGAAUGACUGGGCGUAAAGGGCGCGUAGGCGGCUUGCACAGUCAGUCGUGAAAUUCCUGGGCUCAACCUGGGGACUGCGCUUGAGACGUGUGGGCUUGAGUGGGGAAGAGGGUCGUGGAAUUCCCAGUGUAGAGGUGAAAUUCGUAGAUAUUGGGAAGAACACCGGUGGCGAAGGCGGCGACCUGGUCCUUGACUGACGCUGAGGCGCGA
rnacentral:rRNA from 1 species